AGACGUAGGUAGCAAGCGUUGUCCGGAAUAACUGGGCGUAAAGGGUGCGUAGGCGGCUUUUUAAGUCUAAUGUGAAAUCCCGUGGCUUAACCAUGGAACUGCAUCAGAUACUGGGAAGCUGGAAUGCGGAAGAGGUUGACGGAAUUACUAGUGUAGCGGUAGAAUGCGUAGAUAUUAGUAAGAAGACCGGUGGCGAAGGCGGUCAACUGGGACGUAACUGACGCUGAGGCACGAAAGCGUGGGGAGC
rnacentral:rRNA from 1 species